GAGCGGCGAACGGGUGAGUAACACGUGAGUANCCUGCCCCUGACUCUGCGAUAAGCCCGGGAAACUGGGUCUAAUACCGGAUAUGACCGCUUCCCGCAUGGGAUGGCGGUGGAAAGUUUUUUCGGUUGGGGAUGGACUCGCGGCCUAUCAGCUUGUUGGUGGGGUAACGGCCUACCAAGGCGACGACGGGUAGCCGGCCUGAGAGGGCGACCGGCCACACUGGGACUGAGACACGGCCCAGACUCCUACGGGAGGCAGCAGUGGGGAAUAUUGCGCAAUGGGCGAAAGCCUGACGCAGCGACGCCGCGUGGGGGAUGACGGCCUUCGGGUUGUAAACCUCUUUCAGCAGGGACGAAGUUGACGUGUACCUGCAGAAGAAGCGCCGGCUAACUACGUGCCAGCAGCCGCGGUAAUACGUAGGGCGCAAGCGUUGUCCGGAAUUAUUGGGCGUAAAGAGCUCGUAGGUGGCUUGUCACGUCGGGUGUGAAAGCUUGGGGCUUAACUCCAGGUCUGCAUUCGAUACGGGCUGGCUAGAGGUAGGUAGGGGAG
rnacentral:rRNA from 1 species